rnacentral:rRNA from 1 species
UCUGCCUGGUAGUGGGGGAUAACGUUCGGAAACGGACGCUAAUACCGCAUACGUCCUACGGGAGAAAGCAGGGGACCUUCGGGCCUUGCGCUAUCAGAUGAGCCUAGGUCGGAUUAGCUAGUUGGUGAGGUAAUGGCUCACCAAGGCGACGAUCCGUAACUGGUCUGAGAGGAUGAUCAGUCACACUGGAACUGAGACACGGUCCAGACUCCUACGGGAGGCAGCAGUGGGGAAUAUUGGACAAUGGGCGAAAGCCUGAUCCAGCCAUGCCGCGUGUGUGAAGAAGGUCUUCGGAUUGUAAAGCACUUUAAGUUGGGAGGAAGGGCAUUAACCUAAUACGUUAGUGUUUUGACGUUACCGACAGAAUAAGCACCGGCUAACUCUGUGCCAGCAGCCGCGGUAAUACAGAGGGUGCAAGCGUUAAUCGGAAUUACUGGGCGUAAAGCGCGCGUAGGUGGUUUGUUAAGUUGGAUGUGAAAUCCCCGGGCUCAACCUGGGAACUGCAUUCAAAACUGACUGACUAGAGUAUGGUAGAGGGUG